rnacentral:lncRNA from 1 species
CAUUACUAGAAAUGAGGGCCUCGGUGACCGAGUGUUCUAAGUAGUUACUACUGUAAUCAGUAGCCACUCAACACUGAGGUUGUGAGUUCGAACCCCGCUCGUGUUGGUGCACUCGACUCCAAUCUUUUUUUACUAGGAUUGUCAGUUUGAAUGUCGAUGGUUUUCUCCGGGCACUCUGACUCCCACCGCCAAUAAAAACUGCCCGCCCCACGAAAUAGCCCAAAAGCAGUGCACAAAUGUGGCGCUAAAAACACAAAGGAAAAAUAGAAAAAAAAAGAAAUUAAAUAGUACUAGAAAUGGACUUUUGAUUAUAUUCAUGUUAUACUGUAUACCAUUGUUACUAGAUAAAGA